rnacentral:rRNA from 1 species
UGAGGUUAAGUGACUAAGCGUACACGGUGGAAUGCCUAGGCAGUCAGAGGCGAUGAAGGGGCGUGCUAAUCUGCGAUAAGCGUCGGUAAGGUGAUAUGAACCGUUAUAACCGGCGAUACCCGAAUGGGGAAACCCAGUGCAAUUCGUUGCACUAUCAUACGAUGAAUACAUAGUCGUAUGAGGCGAACCGGGGGAAC